AGAGUUUGAUUAUGGCUCAGGAUGAACGCUAGCGAUAGGCCUAACACAUGCAAGUCGAGGGGCAGCACAUGAAGUAGCAAUACGGAUGGUGGCGACCGGCGCACGGGUGAGUAACGCGUAUGCAACCUGCCUACAACAGGGGAAUAACCCGUUGAAAGACGGACUAAUACCCCAUAACACAGGGAUCCCGCAUGGGAAUAUUUGUUAAAGAUUUAUCGGUUGUAGAUGGGCAUGCGUUCCAUUAGCUGGUUGGUGAGGUAACGGCUCACCAAGGCAACGAUGGAUAGGGGAACUGAGAGGUUUAUCCCCCACACUGGUACUGAGACACGGACCAGACUCCUACGGGAGGCAGCAGUGAGGAAUAUUGGUCAAUGGACGCAAGUCUGAACCAGCCACGUCGCGUGAAGGAAGACGGCCCUACGGGUUGUAAACCUCUUUUGUAAGGGAAUAAAGUGUAGUACGUGUACUAUUUUGCAUGUACCUUACGAAUAAGGAUCGGCUAACUCCGUGCCAGCAGCCGCGGUAAUACGGAGGAUCCGAGCGUUAUCCGGAUUUAUUGGGUUUAAAGGGUGCGCAGGCGGGAGAUUAAGUCGGCGGUGAAAUUUUGCAGCUCAGCUGUAAAAGUGCCUUCGAAACUGGUUUCCUUGAGUGUGGAUGAAGUAGGCGGAAUUUGUGGUGUAGCGGUGAAAUGCAUAGAUAUCACGAGGAACUCCGAUUGCGCAGGCAGCUUACUAAACCAUAACUGACGCUCAGGCACGAAGGCGUGGGGAUCAAACAGGAUUAGAUACCCUGGUAGUC
rnacentral:rRNA from 1 species